AGAGUUUGAUUCUGGCUCAGAACGAACGCUGGCGGCGUGUUUAAGACAUGCAAGUCGCACGGGAUUGAUUGAGUAGUAAUACGAGAUCAGUCUAGUGGCGCACGGGUGAGUAACAUGUGAAUUACAUGCCCUUCAGUGGGGAAUAGCCCAGGGAAACUUGGAUUAAUACCCCAUGGUAUCGCAAGAUUAAAGGUGGCCAGCAAUGGCUGUCGCUGAAGGAUUGGUUCGCACCCUAUCAGCUUGUUGGCGGGGUAAUGGCCCACCAAGGCUACGACGGGUAGCUGGUCUGAGAGGACGAUCAGCCACACUGGAACUGAGACACGGUCCAGACACCUACGGGUGGCAGCAGUCGAGAAUAAUUCACAAUGGGGGCAACCCUGAUGGUGCAACGCCGCGUGGAGGAUGACGGUCUUCGGAUUGUAAACUCCUGUCAUCUGGGAGUAAGACCUGGCGAUGAAUAGUCGACAGGGUUGAUAGUACCAGAAGAGGAAGGGACGGCUAACUUCGUGCCAGCAGCCGCGGUAAUACGAAGGUCCCAAGCGUUGUUCGGAAUCACUGGGCGUAAAGGGAGCGUAGGCGGCGUGGUAAGUCAGAUGUGAAAUCCCGGGGCUCAACCCCGGAACUGCAUCCGAUACUGCCAUGCUAGAGGAUUGGAGAGGUAGCUGGAAUUCUUGGUGUAGCAGUGAAAUGCGUAGAGAUCAAGAGGAACACUCGUGGCGAAAGCGAGCUACUGGACAAUUCCUGACGCUGAGGCUCGAAGGCUAGGGUAGCGAAAGGGAUUAGAUACCCCUGUAGUCCUAGCAGUAAACGGUGCACGCUUGGUGUGAGGGGAAUCGACCCCCCUUGUGCCGGAGCUAACGCGUUAAGCGUGCCGCCUGGGAAGUACGGUCGCAAGACUAAAACUCAAAGAAAUUGACGGGGACCCGCACAAGCGGUGGAGUAUGUGGCUUAAUUCGAUGCAACGCGAAGAACCUUA
rnacentral:rRNA from 1 species